GUUCCGGUAGCUCAGUUGGUAGAGCACCGGUAGCUCAGUGGUAAGCGCUUAGCAAUAACUGGCAGGAGGUCGCAGGAUCGAAGCCUGCCCGGGAUC